UACGGAGGGGGUUAGCGUUGUUCGGAAUUACUGGGCGUAAAGCGCGCGUAGGCGGGUUGUUAAGUUAGAGGUGAAAAUCCCGGGGGCUCAACCCCCGGAACUGCCUUUAAUACUGGCAACCUAGAGUUCGAGAGAGGUGAGUGGAAUUCCGAGUGUAGAGGUGAAAAUUCGUAGAUAUUCGGAGGAACACCAGUGGCGAAGGCGGCUCACUGGCUCGAUACCUGACGCUGAGGUGCGAAAAGUGUGGGGAGCAAAACAGGAUUAGAUACCCCUGUAGUCC
rnacentral:rRNA from 1 species